rnacentral:rRNA from 1 species
CAGUCGCCGCGGUAAUACGAAGGGUGCAAGCGUUAAUCGGAAUUACUGGGCGUAAAGCGUGCGUAGGCGGUUUGUCAAGUCUGUUGUGAAAUCCCCGGGCUCAACCUGGGAAUGGCAAUGGAUACUGGCAGGCUAGAGUGUGAUAGAGGAUGGUGGAAUUCCCGGUGUAGCGGUGAAAUGCGUAGAGAUCGGGAGGAACAUCAGUGGCGAAGGCGGCCAUCUGGAUCAACACUGACGCUGAGGCACGAAAGCGUGGGGAGCAAACAGGAUUAGAUACCCCGGUAGUCCCUGUCUCUUAUAC